UAGUGACCUGCGGAAGGAUCAUUAUUGAAUUAAACCCUGGUCGGGUUGUUGCUGGCCUCUAGGGGCAUGUGCACGCCUGCCAUCGUUUUCAACCACCUGUGCACCUUUUGUAGACUUUUGGAUACCUUUCGAGGGGUCACACUCUCGGUUUUGAGGGCUGCCGCUCGGCUUCCCUCGCAUUUCCGGUCUAUGCAUUUCAUACACUCCGUAAAGAAUGUAUUAGAAUGUCUUGUUAUUGGCCUCAGUGCCUUUAAUCAAAUACAACUUUCAGCAACGGAUCUCUUGGCUCUCGCAUCGAUGAAGAACGCAGCGAAAUGCGAUAAGUAAUGUGAAUUGCAGAAUUCAGUGAAUCAUCGAAUCUUUGAACGCACCUUGCGCUCCUUGGUAUUCCGAGGAGCAUGCCUGUUUGAGUGUCAUUAAAUUCUCAACCUAACCAGCUUUUGUGAGCUGGGAUAGGCUUGGAUUGUGGGGGGUUUUUUUUGCGGGCUUCAUCUCAGAGGUCGGCUCCCCUUAAAAGCAUUAGUGGAACCUUCUGUUGACCUGUUUCCUGGUGUGAUAAUUAUCUACAUCGUGUGCAGUCAGCUAUCU
rnacentral:rRNA from 1 species